GAGCCAUGCGUCUUAGGUCUGGUGGCCUGUGAAUCUCUUGCUUCUUCUACGCUUCUCUCUCCAGGGCGCAGCACUCAAUGCAGAGCUUCAAAAAGGAGUUCAAGUGCCAAGAAUAAGUGAGCACUGAGUGUCCAACCCUAAGUGACUCUUCCGUGUCUGCAUGCACACCCCCACCAGGCCCCCCACCACAGAUUCGCAAAGAUGAUGAAGGAUGAGCCAUUUACUCCCUACCUGGCAGCUGUUGGGCUCCCGCUUGCUGCCCUGACGACCCAGAUGUCAUCUCAACACUCCACAUCGUCCACAACUAUGCAAAGCCUGCAACAGACCCCCACUGCUCCUGAAUGAGUGGCUCAGCGAGAACAGCCCCUAAGACUCUGCCUUCAGGAAGCUGGGGUUGCACGCCCCCCACCCCGCCCCGUGACCUAGUGGGUGGCUGUGACUGGUGUUAACUGAUAUAAAAAUCAAUACUUCAAAUGGCUGUUCGGCUCCUGUGGUAUGUGGUGGGUUCAGAGGCACCCUCCUGUCUGUUUCUCCAGGAUUCCAACAGGUCAAAAAAAGACUCCCUUCUAGUGGUCUAUUUUUAUCACAUUUGGUGACACCUGCUGAGCUGGUGAUAUCAAAAAAAGAAGCAACAGAGACAGUAGAUGCUGCCCGGUCAGCUGACUGAGAAGGAAGAAGGGUGGCAAUAUGCAGAGUGACACAGAGAGAGGACAAUGAGACUCAGUUAAAACACAAAUGGGUUUAAGAUACCAGAAACCUCAGGUCCUGGCCACCAGCAAGAGAUGCUGGGAGAUGUCAAAUCUUUACAGCCAAAGGUCUGAGUAAGAUGUUGGGCCCAGAGAGAGCUCAACCCUGGCUGUGAUGAGGGUCACGGAACCCUGAUGUCCAGGCCUGCUCAGAAGCUGCAGCACUGCCUGCAUCAAGGGCAGCAGAGGGGUCUCCACUCCUAGGCCCAUGAGAACUGUAACCCCUGGAGGUCCAAGGCAUAGCUAUACACAAGGACACUUGAGUGCCAUGUGCUGCUGCCUCCCCCUGCCUGCUGCCACCGAGUCUCUGUCUCUCUAGAGCAGCCUCAAAGAUAGAUAACAGGAUUGGUGACAACCCAGAGUCUCUGUCUCUCUAAUGCAGUCUCUAUGAUAGACAACUGUGACUGGUGACUUGCACGAGGACAGACAUGCAGAGGAGUGACGGGUGAGAACAUGGGAGAAGAUGGAGGUCUCUGAACCAGGAGAGGCCUUGAGAGCCACCCACCUCUAUGAUUUGUUUGUGGUGACAGUCCUCCCAGAUAUGGUGUAGACAUUCGGUCCCUGUGAAGGUGUUAAGAGGUGGUGUGGCCUUUAAGAGGUGCAAUCUAGAAUAGAGGGUGGGGGACUUAUCCUUGGAGGAAAAUAACAUAAUGCAGUUUACAAGGAGCCUGGUCAGCUCUUUUGAGAGUUAAGAGCACAUUGGUCUUUUCUUUUCCUCUAGCCUCCUGUCUCACCAAGCAAUUCCCUUGUUCAUGUCCUUACAGUAUGAUGUCAUCACCAUAACAUGACACACCCAAGCUGCCAGCAGGCUGUCUGGACUUUCGGCUCCCCAGCCUUGGGUGUUCCACAGCAACAAAACAGGUUAACACACUAACCCCACUGACACCCUGGUCCUCUACUUCUGGCCCCUAGAAUCAUAAGGAAAUAAAGUUGUGUGCAUAAGGUGCUCAGCCAAUGGGUACUUUCUGUAUCAGUGGAUCAAGGCAACACAUGCAGCCAGCCAGCUCCCACAAGCCUUGGCCUUUCUGCCACAGACAUGACAAAUAACAUGUCCCUGUCAUGGGGGAGCGUUUCUGCAGAUAGGAUCAUAUUUUCAAGUUGCUAAAAAAGAAGGGCUCUGAAGCCAAAGGUGAAGUCCUGAAGUCCCUGGAAAACAUGGGAGGGAGGGUGCAUGUACAAGGGCCUGGUGUGGGCAAAGCAGCACAAAUCUGCUCCGUACCCAUCUGAAAGCAGGUAUGUUGGGGGUACUAGUGAUCCCAUGUCCCGAGGCAAGGACAGCACAAGGCCUUCCUUGCUGGAGUGACAGGAGAGCCUUGGCCUCCUCAGACACAUCUGUCGAGGAAAGAAAAUUGCCCUAUGCUGUAGAGCACAUCGGCCUAGAGGGGCCACCAGCAUCCAUAGAUGGGUCCAUGUCCCCAGCCCUCAUCUUUCAAUGACACUUGUCCAGAAGGCCAGGAGACCACACCAGGCCUUGGAGAUCUGGCAGAAGGACCCUGUAAAUAAGAGUGUGGACCCCCUCAGGCUCUCUCUUUCCCCACAGCCAAUCAACAGUAGCUCACUGGGACAGAAUGAAGUAAGGGCAGCUUUCCUAACCCCACGACAUGGGUCUACCCACCCAGCACGAAGCAGAGGCUCUCCCAACAGAGUCGGGUACUGGGGGUGGGGGGGAGAAGAGAAGCAGGUGUGGAGCAGGCAGUGGUGAGGGACACACGGGACAAGGGUGGGGACAGACACAGGUGGCAGCGAGGCAGCCUGGUGGCAUGAAAUGAGUGAAACGCCCAAACACAGUGACGAAUCCAAAUCUGGUGCUCAUGCAGAUCCCUGCACCCCCAUUUCCAAGUCACCCCCCUCUUCCUAAGAUUUUCCAGCAUUUUGUUUUCCUAUAGCCCAGGAGGCUGACCAUGGUUAGCAUUCUGUACCCUAUCAUGUCUGAUGCACCACAAGACAGUUUGGUUUUUCCUAUUUACUGUCUUAUCAGUGAGUCCCUUGAGCUGCGUACAAGAGUAUAGGCAUCUGAUCAGGGGGCAUCACUCAAAAGCCCAGUGUGAUCCCUUCCUUAGCAACACAGAGCAAUGCAUAUACAUCUUCAGAGAGGGGCAGGGCCUCGUGAGACCUCUCACAACUGAGAUUUGAAUGGGCUCAGCACUCAAAAAAAGGACAAAAAGACCAGGCGAGAGGCUCGUCAGUGACCCUGAUUUAAUCAGUGCAGAGGCUGUACACACACGGAGAAACAUCACACUGUACCCCAGAAAUAAGCUGUGAGUUAAACACACAAACACUCUCAGCACUCUAGUGCUAGGUGUCUCCUCACUUCCUGGCUGUCAGAGACUCUGCUUUCCUGACACGGGCUUCUGUCUUCACUCAUCUCUGAACACCCCACUCCCUCCGCACCUCCCCCCCCCUCCCUGUCCUCCCUCCAGGAGCUCACAGAGCUAUUUCUGGCUGUCAGGCUCUAACUAUGACAGCCCUGGAAAGGCUGAAGUCCCUAGGUGUCUCUUCCCAGUGAGGAAGUCCCUGCUGUGUACCUAGCAUCUGUCUCUGUCCUGCAUGAAAGGCUGAGGUCAGUCUCAGAACCUCGAUCUAUACCAGAUAGUUGGCACUGGGGUGUGGGGGAGGACAACGCAUAGCUGAGCCCCUAAGGAAGGGACCAGUGGACCCCACAGCCUCUAUGUGAUCUCUCAGCAGAUACCCCUGAAUUUCAUCAAUGCUCACUGGUCAAACUGGGAGACUGAGGCCCUGAGCCUGCUGAAGGGCCCUAGAACUAAGAGCCAUGUUUCACGAUCAUCUAGACUACCCUGAGACAGAGUACAGGGGGACCCAAGUGUUCUGGUUUGGGGGACAUGAAGAGAAGCCAAGAUCUAGGGAAGAGCGGGGCUGGAGCUCACAUCUUGGGGAUAAUUCUAAGGGGG
rnacentral:lncRNA from 1 species